GGGCCUCGGCCUACGCUGUGGAUGACACAUCCGUACGUGCACAGGCAGGUAGACAGCACAGCACACUGGUUUAUCUUCCCGUCACCACGGCGUGCUCCGUGGAGGCACAGGCAAUCGGCGGCACCGCCAGCGGUGCCGCCGCCCUCACCUCUCGUCGCCUUUUUCAAGAGCGCAUCAACGUGCUCCUCUCGGCACCCAUGCCACAUUGCCUCCAGAGUGAGUCACAAGGGGACGCGCCAUUUCGAAUGGGUUUCAUGUCCGCAAGAGAGCGAGCAGGCAGCGGCAUGGCAACCGAGCGCUCGCUGCACAGCUCGCACUCCCCUCAGCGCAAUGCCCAAGCCUCCACCGUGCGCACGCUUCCCAUCUACGAGGCUCUCCUACAGAAGGGUCGACUAAUGCAGGAGCAUCGAGAGCGGCUUCAGCAGGAGGCAAUCGAGCGAGAGAUGCGUGAGGUGCGGCCUGCUCCACGCGUCGCCGUCUCGCCGGCUCCUCUACCCGUAGAGGCGCCACGCUCCGCACGCCGCCUUCCCCCCAAGGGUCAACGCAUCGAGGACAGACUGCUUCAGAGGGCCAAGGAAAAACACGAGCUUGAGGAGAAGGCUGGGCAGGUGCGGGCGGAGCGCGAGGCUGAGGACCUGGCGGUCAUCGCCCCCUUUCAUCCUCACAUCUCAGCCCACGCUCUGGCGACCAAAUCCCGUUACAAGGAGCCACCACCCGAUCGGGCUGCGUGGCGGGCGAGACGUUUGGCAGAGCUUGCGCAAAUGUGCCAGAGUUCGGGUGCAGAGGUGCUGGAGGAGCUUCAGGAUGUGCCGUCCAUCAACCCACGCUCUGCGAAGCUCGCUGCCCUGAGGAAGGCGAGAGAGGGUCUGGAUGGGGUACCCGUGCCGGACGCCCUCCUUAUCAGUGAACAUCGCCGUCGAUUGGCUCAGUGGCAGGCAGCGGAGGCGGAGCGGGAGGCUCGGUCGCACGCAGUCCCUUCCAUCACUCGGCACGCCGCACGCAUGCGGCGCGUCGGCAGUGUUGGCGAUCGCCUGCAUGCGGAAAGCUACGAAGUUGCGCUUCGCCGCUUGCAGCGCGAGGUGGCGUGGCGCGAGGCCCACACACCGUUUCAGCCGCUCGUCACUCCGCUAGGCGCUGUCACGGCGCCACGAUAUCAACGUGAAGGUGACACAGUCGCGCACACACGAACUCUGGAGGGUUCCCGCAUUUUAUCGCGUCAGAACUGGGUGCCAAGGGACUCCUUUCAGCCCUCCAUCAACCCUGUUAGUGCGGCGAUUGCGCAGCGGCUGCCAGAGACGGCAAUGGAGCGGCUGUGUCGGCCCAGCGCUGUUCAUUCUCUUUCCUCCUAUGUCGAUCCCACCAGCUUCACAGACGCGUCUGGUGUGUCUCCGUCUCCAUCUAUUGCUGCACGUAGCCAGACUCGUUCCUGCUUGCUGCGUACGCCGUCUGCGCACCAGCAGCACGGUGCUGUGUUGAACACCCCUUCCUCGACGUUAGGUGCCCUUCCCAGCUCUGUGGUCGCCUCUCUGGAUGCGUAUGAGCGCCGGCGACAGAGGCGGCUGGAGGCGCUGCGCAAGGAGCAGGUGGAGCACGAGCAACGGGAGUGCACGUUUCAGCCGCAGAUCAACGCACAUUCGUCGUCUUUGACGGGCGCCUUCGCGAGCGCGAGCGGUCAGCGGGGCCCCAGCGCCGUGGCGCGGCGGAGCGGCGAGUGGCAGCAGCAGCGAGAGCGGCAUCUCGAAACGAUGCGGCAGUGGCAAGCGGAGCGGGCGGCGGCAGAGCAGACGAUGGCGACGCGCGUGAGAAGCGGCGCUCGCACGGCGGCGCCCUCCUCCUCGCCGCUGUCUUACAGCAUCUACGGUGGCGAUGGCACUCCCUGGGGCGUGGAGGAGUACCUUGCCAGGCAGCAACUCGCGCGCGCGAUGCGGCAGAGGGCGCAGGAGGCUUUGGAGCGCCAAAGCGUCUCUGUCGAUGGACGCGAUCGCCCAUCUUCCUCAUCGGCGCCGCCUCCCGUCAGCAAGCAAAUGGGGCUGGAUCACCGCGUGCGCAGCUCUAGCAUGCUUAGCCGAAGACCCUCUCCCAUUCGCAGUUUGCGGCCGGCUGUGCCCGCGUCUCAGGAGGUAGCCAUUGCCCAUAUGUUUGCCUCUGCGGAAGAGGCUUCCAGCGACGGCGGCUGGCGAUGCUGGAAGGGAGGCGAACACGUCAUGCGCGUGGACGCACCACACUCUUCUUUCUCACGGUCUUCUCGUUCUUAGACACACACACACACACGGGCACCUCGUGCCCAUUGCGGCAAUAAUCCUUCGCCCGGUGGUUAGAUUUCUCUCAGUUUCUCAUAUUCCCUUCGCGGUUGCCAGGGCCCGGGCUCUUAAGUGCACAGACGCACGUAGUCCUCUAUUUCCAGUGAACCGCGACACACAGUUCAUGUGUUCGCUGCCACUGUGAGUAUGGCUUCGUCGUCUUCUCUUGGUUCUGCUACGGCGAAGCGCACGAACGAGGAAU
rnacentral:misc_RNA from 1 species